rnacentral:rRNA from 1 species
GAUGAACGCUGGCGGCGUGCCUAAUACAUGCAAGUCGAGCGAACAGACGAGGAGCUUGCUCCUUUGACGUUAGCGGCGGACGGGUGAGUAACACGUAGGUAACCUACCUAUAAGACUGGGAUAACUUCGGGAAACAGGAGCUAAUACCGGACAAUAUUUCGAACCGCAUGGUUCGAUAGUGAAAGAUGGCUUUGCUAACACUUAUAGAUGGACCUGCGCCGUAUUAGCUAGUUGGUAAGGUAACGGCUUACCAAGGCAACGAUACGUAGCCGACCUGAGAGGGUGAUCGGCCACACUGGAACUGAGACACGGUCCAGACUCCUACGGGAGGCAGCAGUAGGGAAUCUUCCGCAAUGGGCGAAAGCCUGACGGAGCAACGCCGCGUGAGUGAUGAAGGUCUUCGGAUCGUAAAACUCUGUUAUUAGGGAAGAACAAACGUGUAAGUAACUGUGCACGUCUUGACGGUACCUAAUCAGAAAGCCACGGCUAACUACGUG